GACGAACGCUGGCGGCGUGCUUAACACAUGCAAGUCGAACGAUGAACCGGUUUCGGCCGGGGAUUAGUGGCGAACGGGUGAGUAACACGUGGGCAAUCUGCCCUGCACUCUGGGAUAAGCCCGGGGAACUGGGUCUAAUACCGGAUACGACACUCCGAGGCAUCUUGGGGUGUGGAAAGUUCCGGCGGUGCAGGAUGAGCCCGCGGCCUAUCAGCUUGUUGGUGGGGUAAUGGCCUACCAAGGCGACGACGGGUAGCCGGCCUGAGAGGGUGACCGGCCACACUGGGACUGAGACACGGCCCAGACUCCUACGGGAGGCAGCAGUGGGGAAUAUUGCACAAUGGGCGAAAGCCUGAUGCAGCGACGCCGCGUGAGGGAUGACGGCCUUCGGGUUGUAAACCUCUUUCAGCAGGGAAGAAGCGAAAGUGACGGUACCUGCAGAAGAAGCACCGGCUAACUACGUG
rnacentral:rRNA from 1 species